rnacentral:sRNA from 1 species
AUUAUCGCAUCUCCCCGACAAACACCACGAGAAUUCCGCAGCCCACACGCUGCACCUGGGGCCCUUCAGUCCCUGCAGGAGAAGAAUGGGGCCAGCGAUUGGUACGCAGCCUUCCCAGCCUGCAGAGCCGCCUGCUUUGGUUGUAAUCGUAGGCAAGCUCAGCCUGCUUUGGUUGUAAUCAUAGGCACGCCCAGCCUGCUUUGGUUGUAAUCGUAGGCAAGCUCAGGUUUCUGCGUCUGCACAUCCCGGUGGGCUCGCCUGGGACUCCCCUUUGUCUGUUGUACAAGACUCCACUCUGCCCGUCCCUUUGGAAGAGAGGAUGUCUUCAUCCUCAGGGAGUAGAGAAACACUCUCCCCCACCCUCCAUCCUGACCCCCGUGCAGAGGAUGAAGUGCCGUCCAGAAGCCCUCUCUCUGGGGUGCCGUAAGUCUCAGAGAGAGGAGCACCCGGGGCCUCUGUGGCAGGAGCUUGUGAGUGUCUUUGGUUAAAAUGUGCGGGAAGUGUUAACUCCUAAGCUGCCAGCAGAUGGUGUGCCGAGAUACUGUGAAGUCACAUGAACUUGAUUCCUGUUGUGAAAGA